rnacentral:misc_RNA from 1 species
AAGUCGUAACAAGGUUUCCGUAGGUGAACCUGCGGAAGGAUCAUUAUUGAAUUUUGAACACUUUGCGAUUGAGCUGGCUCUUGUAACAGAGAGCAUUGUGCUUGUCGCAUCGCCUUCAUAUUUCUCCACCUGUGCACCUUUUGUAGACUCUGGAAUUACCCUCUCGCUUGAGAAAUCAAGGCGGAUUGUUGAAUGAACGCAAGUUCUUUCGAUGUCUUUCCAGGUCUAUGUUUACAUAUCACCACGAGUAACGUUUAGAAUGUCUUCGUUUAUUGGACGCAAGUCCUUUAACAAAUCAAAUACAACUUUCAACAACGGAUCUCUUGGCUCUC